UACGUAGGGUGCGAGCGUUAAUCGGAAUUACUGGGCGUAAAGCGUGCGCAGGCGGUCUGUUAAGACCGAUGUGAAAUCCCCGGGCUUAACCUGGGAAUGGCAUUUGGGACUGCAAGGCUUGAGUGCGGCAGAGGAGACUGGAAUUCCUGGUGUAGCAGUGAAAUGCGUAGAUAUCAGGAGGAACACCGAUGGCGAAGGCAGGUCUCUG
rnacentral:rRNA from 1 species